rnacentral:rRNA from 1 species
UACGUAGGGUGCAAGCGUUAUUCGGAAUUACUGGGCGUAAAGCGUGCGCAGGCGGCUAUGCAAGACAGAUGUGAAAUCCCCGGGCUCAACCUGGGAACUGCAUUUGUGACUGCAUGGCUAGAGUACGGUAGAGGGGGAUGGAAUUCCGCGUGUAGCAGUGAAAUGCGUAGAUAUGCGGAGGAACACCGAUGGCGAAGGCAGUCCCCUGGACCUGUACUGACGCUCAUGCACGAAAGCGUGGGGAGCAAACAGG